UACAGCCAUAUCACAUUUUAACAUUGGUUCCCGUAUGAUCACCAAAGUUAAGUGAUGUUGAGCCUGGUCAGUACCUAGAUAGGUGACCCCUUGGGAAUAACAGAUGCUGUA